rnacentral:lncRNA from 1 species
UAUUAUAUCUAAGUAUACUGUAUAAUUAUAAUACAAUAUGAUAUAUUAGAUUUAAGUAUUUAUUAUUAUUAGUAUUAUUAUUAUUCAUUGUUGUUCCGGCACAUACCUACAUUCAUACCUGAAUAAUAUUAAUCGUCAAUUUAUUAAAAUUGAAUAGGUCUAUAAUCUCCAUAACACCUAGUUAAUUGUAGUAUAAAAUUAACUAAGCGAGGUUUCGUUAUAAUUAUUGUAACAAAAGUUAUUCCCGUAAUAUUGUGUUGAUAAUAAUUAUAUUAUUAUAAAUAUCAAAUAUUUACAAUGUUAUAAUUUUUUCCCUAUAUAGGUAAGCACCUGUAUAGUAUAAUAUAUUUGGCCUACAUAAUAGCCCAGUAUGAUUUCCCCGUGUUUAUUGCAAUGGUCAUAAUUAUUAACAUUUAUAAAGCUGUUCCAGCUUACCCGCUAUAGGCUAUUUACUCAUGUUGUAAUUUUGAAUGAUUAUAUUGUAUCAAUAAAAGCUUAUGUUUAUUUUUAAUAUUAUAUAUGGAGUGAAGAAUAAUUAGAUUUUACAUUAUUAUUAUUAUUAUUAUUUAUUUGUUAUGUUGAUUAAUUUUCAUUUUUACCACGAUUUCUCAAAAAAAUUUAAAGUUUUAACCAGACAGUGGCCCUACAUGAUGUAUGAUGCCGAAAAUUAAAAAAUGUCCGUACUUCCAUUAUCCUCAAAAUUUUCUUUAUAACUCAAUAAUACUGUAAUAAUAAUGAAACUUGUAUGUGUUUAAACUAAUUCUUAUCGAAGAAAUUCGCGGCGGUAUUACAAUAUUAUAUAUUGCACAGUCGUAGAUUGUAUACAUAUUUAGAUUGUAGGAACACCGUUACCUAAAUAUUCUUAAAUUAAUUUAAUUCAAAAAUUAUAAUAUUGGAUAUUGACCUUUUUUUCUUCGUUUCAUAAAUAAAAAAAAAAAAAAUCAAUAUUAUUAUCAGGUCAAUCUAAGUAUGCCUACCUACCCAUACGUUGAUUAAAUCGUCAUUCAUGAAUAAAAAAAAAAAUUUCUAAUUAAAUAUUAGUACAUUUUAACCUUUAUUUUAGUUCUAAGUUUCGACACCCGUUACUAUAAUAUCGAUGGCAUAGUGUGGUAAAUGAAAUUUGACACAUUUUUCAGUAGGAGUAUUUGAAAUUUUAUACUUCCAUAGUUCCAUAUAAAUCGGUACAUAUUUCAAAAAACAAUUCCAUACAGUGGGUAAAAUAUUAAACAUACACAUACAUUUUGUGCAUUUUAUUAUGAAAAAUAAAAUGGUGAAUUUUCUAUAGUACUAGAUUCAUUUCGCCAAAAAUUUCACUUACCACACCUGUGCACUAGAUCAUCGAUUUGUAAUAAUUUAUACCUAAAUACCCAAAUAUAUUAUGAAUUUAUUUGUAUAAGAAAUCCUUAAAAUAAAUAUCCAAAAACACAUUGUUAGAGUUGAAAAAUAAUUAAAUUUUUUUUUUUUUUUUUAAACCAUCAGAUCCACAUCCUUUCGUGACAAAUUUGUUCAAAAUUCCUCAAUUACCAUAUAAUAUACAGUAUUCAACUAUAUCUACUAUUAUAUUGAUGCGACUUUUUUUCUGAAAAGAGUUG